rnacentral:rRNA from 1 species
UGGCCGUAAACGAUGUGGACUUGGUGUUGGAAUGGCUCCGAGCUGCUCCAGUGCCGAAGGGAAGCUGUUAAGUCCACCGCCUGGGAAGUACGGUCGCAAGACUGAAACUUAAAGGAAUUGGCGGGGGGAGCACCACAACGGGUGGAGCCUGCGGUUUAAUUGGACUCAACGCCGGGAAGCUCACCGGAUAAGACAGCGGAAUGAUUGCCGGGCUGAAGACCCUGCAUGACCAGCUGAGAGGUGGUGCAUGGCGUAGUCGUGU